rnacentral:rRNA from 1 species
UACGUAGAGUGCAAGCGUUGUCCGGAAUUAUUGGGCGUAAAGAGCUUGUAGGCGGUUUGUCGCGUCUGCUGUGAAAUUUCGGGGCUCAACCCCGAACUUGCAGUGGGUACGGGCAGACUAGAGUGUGGUAGGGGAGACUGGAAUUCCUGGUGUAGCGGUGAAAUGCGCAGAUAUCAGGAGGAACACCGGUGGCGAAGGCGGGUCUCUGGGCCGAAAUUGACGCUGAGGAGCGAAAGCGUGGGGAGCAAACAGG